rnacentral:tRNA from 1 species
GCUGGCGUAGCUCAGACGGCAGAGCGGUUGAUUUGUAAUCAGCAGGCCGGGGGUUCGAUCCCCUCCGCCAGCUCCA